UGCACCAGUCUCCAGCAAGAGACCUAACAUCAGUCAUGCACAUUAGUUGAGUACCAGCUCUAUAUCUGUUGGUCUAUAAUUUUAUUUUAAUUUUUCUGACAAGACAAUAAAGGUCUGAUAAUUAUUAUGUUUUGUAGCUGACAAGUUUAAAGCAUAGCCUGAGCCACACAGCAAAUAAGAAGCAAACUAGAAGGAUCUGCUUUCCAAAUCCAUGUCCACAUAUCCAUUUGUUUGGGAGGGAAUGAUGGAAGAUGGGUAUUGUCAGAAAUGGUCAUAUAUGGUUAUAUGAAAACAUACGUGAUACCUCAUUAGUGCAAUCAGUUUUCAUGGUUGUAUGCAUCAGUUUAAAAUAAGUGUGAUUAAUAACAAAAAUUGAAAACUGAGAGACAAAUCUGUGAAUGUGGAAAGUGGUCGAAGGUAGGUCAACGGAAGUGACACGAGAUGUUUGGGAGGUCCAGGUAAGAAAUCGAAGCCCUCCAGUCUCCCAACUUUACUCUUUAUGUGAAUAUGUUGUCUGUUUCCAGAUGGACAGUCUGUUGAGAAGCCCUGCCUUGAAGAGUUUGGCUUGGCACCCAGUCUUCAUGGAAUAGAUUUAAUCCCCAAGUCUCUAAACCAUAUGCCCCUGUCACUUAACUGGGCCAAUAGUUUUCUGUUUUCUCUAAACCUUUGUCUAGAUAACCUAUCAAGAUUCCAAAGAAUUUGCUGUGUCUAGUUCUUGUCUGGUACUAAGUCCUAGUACCAGAUGGAAGAGGACAACCAGUGGGAAAGGAAAGGGUGUGGUCAUUUGGUGACUCAAAGCUGACAAUACCCACUGGACACUGCAUCACUGGAAUUGAAAAUCAGCUCCCGUAGCUGCCAGAGCACUCCACUCAGAGUCUGAGUGAGGAGUCAUCCAGCUGUUUACGUAGGAAAAUCUGAAACCCGCCUUUUUCCUGCUUCAGAAGAGAGAUGCGGGUAUCGCCUGAAUCUGAAUAUUCUACAAGGAAAUAAAGGAAUGAAUAUUUAA